rnacentral:rRNA from 1 species
CCCUUAGAUGUUCUGGGCCGCACGCGUGCUACACUGAGUGGAUCAGCGGGUCAGGUUGCGCGAAAGCGUUUCCUAAUCUUGAAAUCCGCUCGUGAUGGGGAUUGACGGUUGCAAUUUUCUGUCAUGAACGAGGAAUACCUUGUAAGCGCGAGUCAUCAUCCCGCGCUGAAUACGUCCCUGCCCUUUGUACACACCGCCCGUCGCUCCUACCGAUUGAGUGGUCCGGUGAGGCUUUGGGAUCUGAGCGGAAAGAGCGUUUCGCUGUUUCUGCUCGGAAAACUCAGUCGAACCUUAUCAUUUAGAGGAAGGAGAAGUCGUAACA